GACGGUAUAGUUCAGUCGGUUAGAACAUUGGGAUCAUAAUCCAAAUGUGAAGGGUUCAAUUCCCUUUUCCGUCA
rnacentral:tRNA from 1 species